rnacentral:lncRNA from 1 species
UAUCAUUUGCAGCUUUUAUGUAGCCUUCUAUGUCUUUUUAUGCGGAAAAAGAAGUAUUGUUUGCUUCUCAUAUCGGUAGGCAAUGUGUGUAGGAGACUUUGUUUUUGUGCCUUCCUUGUGUACUGCAACUUGCUUAUCUUUAAUCAACUCCAAGACAACUUUUGUCUUUCAUUUGAACUUUGAACACCUCUUUGCCUUCUGAAUCUUUAAUCUUGCAGUUUUUGUCCUCAAACAAAACCUUAUAGCCUUUCUCCAUCAACUGAGGAACACUUAACAAAUUUUGAUUAAUUUCAGCAACAUAUUAG